UACGGGGGGGGCAAGCGUUUGUUCGGAAUUACUGGGCGUAAAGGGCUCGUAGGCGGCCAACUAAGUCAGACGUGAAAUCCCCAGGCUUAACCUGGGAACUGCGUCUGAUACUGGAUGGCUUGAGUUUGGGAGAGGGAUGCGGAAUUCCAGGUGUAGCGGUGAAAUGCGUAGAUAUCUGGAGGAACACCGGUGGCGAAGGCGGCAUCCUGGACCAACACUGACACUGAGGAGCGAAAGCCAGGGGAGCAAACGGG
rnacentral:rRNA from 1 species